AUUGAUCAAAUAUUGAAAUCGCAGUAUACGUCAAACUUAUGAUAGAACAGAGUAUAAACGGCGGAUAUAUUUUAUGCAAUUCAUCAUUAUACGUAUCAGUUGAGUUCGUCAGCACUUCAAUAAUACUCGCAGUUGAUUACCAAUUAUUUCGCCAAAAUGACUUUCAAAUUGAUGGCUCUUGUUUUAUUAUUCGCACUGUUGUUAAUAAUUGGAAUUGUUCAAGUAGCGGAAUGCUGCUCACAUAAAUGUGGUUGUCGUACUGGCGGUUCAAAGCCCUGCCAUUGCAAACCCUGCCAUUGCCACUGACAAGGUAGAGAGUAGCGACGGAAAUAAUAAUGGCGAUGAUCCCGUGAAUAAAAAUCGGGGAUCUGGGUCAGGUGUUUUGGCAAUUUUCAUAACUUUUAUCAUUUCCGCUUGGUCACCGCGUCCGUCAUUCUCUUCCUUUUCGAAACAACUCCAUGCAGAAUUUUACAUAAUUAAAAAUAGGAUUUUACUCGAGUACUGUUUUUUGUAAAAUGAAUCUAACAUCAGCAUGUUCAAUAAAAAUUGCCAA